rnacentral:rRNA from 1 species
CUGGCCGAAGGCUGACGCUGCGACGUCGCGUGGAGGAUGAAGGUCUUAGGAUCGUAAACUCCUUUUAUCUACGAACAAGUUCUGAGUGUAGUAGAUGAAUAAGUGCCUGCCAACCACGUGCCAGAAGCAUCGGUAAUACGUGGGACACAAGCGUUACCCGGAUUCACUGGGCGUAAAGAGAUGCGUAGGCGUCUAGAAAAGUUCUGUGUUAAAUCCCAAGGCUCACCCUUGGAACCGCAUAGAAAACUCUCUGGAUUGAGUCAUGUAGAGAAUAGGGGAAUUCCUGGUGGAGCGGUUAAAUGCGUUGAUAUCAGGAGGAACACCAAUGGCGAAAGCACCUAUUUGGACAUGUACUGACGCUAAGGCUCGAAAGUGUGGGGAGCAAAACGGAUUAGAUACCCGUGUAGUCCACACCGUAAACGAUCCCUGUUAGAUGUUCGAAAUUUGCUGAAAUUUCUCUUCGGAGAAGGAUAAGCACUUUUUGAGUGUCGCAGCUAACGCGUUAAACAGGGCGCCUGUGAAGUACGACCGCAAGGGUUAAAACACAAAGGAAUUGACGGGGGACCCCGCACAAGCAGUGGAGUGCCUGGGUUUAAUUCGAAUGAUCAACGAAGAACCUCAC